UGACUUUGGUAUGACCGUGUCAUCGAUGU
rnacentral:sRNA from 1 species